UGAGGAAUAUUGGGCAAUGCCCGCAAGGGUGACCCAGCAACGCCGCGUGGUGGAUGAAUGUCGUAAGAUUGUAAACUCCUGUUAGAGGGGAAGAAUAGUACCGGUUGGACCGGUAUAUGACUGUACCCUCAGAGAAAGCACCGGCUAACUACGUGCCAGCAGCCGCGGUAAUACGUAGGGGGCAAGCGUUGUCCGGAUUUACUGGGUGUAAAGGGCGCGCAGGCGGGAUAAAAAGUCAGUGGUGAAAUCCUACAGCUUAACUGUAGAACUGCCUCUGAUACUUUUAUUCUUGAGUUCGGGAGAGAGAGACGGAAUUCCAGGUGGAGUGGUGAAAUACGUAGAUAUCUGGAAGAACACCAGUUGCGAAGGCGGUCUCUUGGUCCGACACUGACGCUGAGGCGCGAAAGCGUGGGGAGCAAACA
rnacentral:rRNA from 1 species